GGGCCUAUAAGCUAGUGGCAAACUGACUCGUUUACACCGAGUAUUCCCAGGUUCGAUCCCUGGUAGGCCCA
rnacentral:tRNA from 1 species